rnacentral:piRNA from 1 species
UGCCUAGAGAAAGGAUCGUUUUGUGCUG